rnacentral:tRNA from 1 species
GCGGACGUGGCGAAACCGGUAGACGCAAAGGACUUAAAAUCCUUCGGCCGCAAGGCUAUGCGGGUUCGACCCCCGCCGUCCGCACCA